UCCAGCCGAACACAACCGGUUCCAGCCAGACACAGCCGGUUCCAGCCGGACACAGCUGGUUCCAGCCAGACACAGCCGGUUCCAGCCAGACACAGCCGGUUCCAGCAAGAUCCAACUGCCCCCCGCAGGGCACGGCUGAGCCACAGCCGGGGCGGGAGUGGGGAAUGAGUUUAACAAGGGACACAAACAUGACACCAAUAAAAUAAGGAAAGAGGAGAAAAGUGGCAGCUCUGCAGACUCCAAGAAGAGGGUGCUGGAGCAGAGAUUCCCCUGUAGCCUUUGGAGGGACCAUGGUGGAGCUGUGGCAGCCAAGGCAGGAACCUAAGUGAAAGUUCAGCUCCUUGGAAAGGGAUGGACUUUUCUGAAGACCUUAUUUGAAGGGUUAAAAACAUGAAUUUGGAAAAGCUAAGAGGGCAAGCUGAAACACAGGAAUAUUGUAACAAGAAUAUUUAAUUUCAACCUUUGGUGCUGGCAUCCCAUGCAAUCCAGGAAAACCAGGGGAAGAAGUAGAAGAGGACAAUUUCCUGGCUGAACUGAAUUUCAAAAUCACAAGAUGAAUGGAGGACAGCAGAAGAGUUUUCAGCUUACAAAACUGCAUAUUUAGCUCAGGGCAAAAUAUUGUAAUGUGAUUUCAAUACAAAUCAAAAACAUUGUCAAUGUGUUCUUUUAAUAGAAAGCUGGAAGAGAGAAGAUUCAAAAGGAAAUUCACAGAAAGUCAAAAAAGUUAGAAUCGCUAUCUGGUACAAUUAGCAGAGCAA